rnacentral:lncRNA from 1 species
AUUUUAGGAACGCCCCUUCUUUCCUCUUCUCCUUAACAAGGUGGAGAUGGUUUUGCUCAGACAAACUUUAUUACCAGCACCAAUGAGGGGAACCGAGAAUUCUGAGCCACUGUAGCUGACAUCACAGAACUCCAGCUGCUCUGUGGACUGUAUCCUUUUCUACCUCUGUCCUUAAAAGCUAUUGGAGCCCUUAUUAAAAAAAAAAAAACUGCUGCUGUGUACUUAGAGAGCAACUCUUAUUUCGAGUGAUUCUUUUACCUGAUAAGGCAUUUGGAUAUUUAUUCCUCUAACUCGACUCCAAUCCCCCUAUCUUUUUCGUGUUUUCCCAGGUAAAGAGGAAAAAUCUCCAAUCCACUCCCAUCUGUUUGCCUCAUCCAGCAGAGCUUCCAGGCCACAGAAGGCUCAAGACUACAAUAUAAUUCCUGAGACUGCCAAGACCUUGGGUGCUGAUGGCUUCUCGUGGAUGAGGAGAAAACAACAGGACCACUGGAUUAGGGCUUGUUACAGCCCAACUCUCCCGCUUCUUGCUUCUUGCUUCUUGCUUCUUACUAAAUAAUGGAUCAAUGACUGCCCGGCAGAAUUAGCCUUUCAAUUGACUUUUGUCUUUCGCCCAUCAUUUUCAAAGCUCAUCUCCCAUGGGGAAGACUGAAAGAAGGAGUCUACACUGAGGGAACAGAAGUCCUCUUGUGGCUUGAGGUUGCUUUAUUCUACUGCCCAAGGAAGGACAACAGGGACCCCUGUGCACUUCGCUUGGUUAUGACAAAAUUUCCAUUCUUCUAGCCUUUGUUUUGUCCCAUGGUAGCCUAUAUAUCAUAUCUAUAGAGCAUAGAGGCAUAAGCCCCCCCUUUGCUGUAAUUGGCCUAAAAGUCUUCACAUGAAGAGCCAUCAGCUCAUAUUUGCAUGCUCCAUUUACUCCAAUAAUGUCUUCCACAUUAUUGUUUUACAAUUAAUUUCAUAAUUAAUAAGGUUGCAAUUUAGAAUCCUUAUAAAAGUACAGGGAGAGGUUUAGAGAUGAAACUGUUCAAAACAGUACCGUAUGUAUUUUAGCUUCACUGGAGCAAAGAGGAAAUUGCCUGUUUCUUCCAGCUUGUUUCAGUGUCCUAGGGCAGGGGCAGAAUGUAAGUGAUCACGAAGUGCUUUUGCUUAUUGCCACUUGGAAACUGGCAAUACUGCUGUGAAGAGAUGAAUAUCAGUUCCAAGCAAGAGGCUGGGUAGUUUCCUUCUGUAAUCCCACACCAGUGUGUGAGUCAGAGUUAGAACCAGAAUCGUUCUAAAGGCGAAUUUGUGCAUCUGAAGCAACCUCAUGUUAUACCCAUUUGGUGAUUCAUGACAGAGAUGGAGUCUCAUUAAUAAGGAUUAUUUAUCCAAAGCCUUACUAAAAGCAUGUGAAACAGCUUUAAGACAGGACCUCAGGUAGCCCAGGCUAUUGUGGAGCUCACUCUGUGGCCAAUCAAGAUCUCCUAAUUUUCCUGUCUCAGCUCCCAAAUGCUGACACUUUAGAUAUGCAACACCAUGUUCAGGUUGAAAAACAAAAUCUUAUUAAAUAAAUUACUUAUGUCGAAAUCUC